rnacentral:sRNA from 1 species
CAUUUGCGUUAGGGAUUGAAACGACAUCCUUUUUUUUUGAAACGUCAUUGCGAGGAACGAAGCAAUCUCUUUUUAAAAUUGAGGUUGCCACAGAAAGUAAAAAAACUUUCUUCGCAAUGACAGACUAAAAAAAGAUAUAGUGUAAAGCCCGACCUUUU